rnacentral:rRNA from 1 species
AAACCAGCACCUCAAGUGGUCAGGAUGAUUAUUGGGCCUAAAGCAUCCGUAGCCGGCUCUGUAAGUUUUCGGUUAAAUCUGUACGCUUAACGUACAGGCUGCCGGGAAUACUGCAGAGCUAGGGAGUGGGAGAGGUAGACGGUACUCGGGAGGAAGUGGUAAAAUGCUUUGAUCUCUCGAUGACCACCUGUGGCGAAGGCGGUCUACCAGAACACGUCCGACGGUGAGGGAUGAAAGCUGGGGGAGCAAACCGAAUUAGAAACCCGAGUAGUCC